UCCUCCUAUGCGGGCACCCUUCAAUCCCUUUAAGUUUUAGUCAAUUGACAGUACUACGCCGAGCUUAGUGCAUAUUUCCUAAAAGGACCCCAGUGACAGGCGAGCGUAUCAUCCGCUUCCGUUCAUGGGUGCGACAGGGUGUGGCGGGGAAACGGAUCGAGUUCCCUCCCCACCAUCCGUGCAUGAGAGUAAGCACCGGACUGGUUCGGUGCAUUUGCCAGGGGUGUUUUUAGCGAAAUAAACUUAAUCUCAGGGGGACAAGGGGCAGUUAGUUUUAACCUUCAAAGGAAUUCAAGGGGGCCCCGCACAAGGGGGGAGAGCUGUGGGGUUUACUUCGAGCUAACGCCCAGAACUUAACCAUCCCUUAACAUGCCAGGAUUGUCCAAGAGUUCGGUCGAUCCCUUGGGGCACUUGCACACAGGUGCUGCAUGGCUGUCGUCAGCUCGUGUCGUGAGAUGUUGGGUUAAGUCCCGCAACGAGCGCAACCCACGUCCUUAGUUGCCAUCAUUCAGUUGGGCACUCUAGGGAGACUGCCGGUGAUAAGCCGCGAGGAAGGUGUGGAUGACGUCAAGUCCUCAUGGCCCUUACGGGAUGGGCUACACACGUGCUACAAUGGCGGUGACAGUGGGACGCGAAACCGCGAGGUUGAGCAAAUCCCCAAAAGCCGUCUCAGUUCGGAUUGCACUCUGCAACUCGGGUGCAUGAAGGCGGAAUCGCUAGUAAUCGUGGAUCAGCAUGCCACGGUGAAUACGUUCCCGGGCCUUGUACACACCGCCCGUCACACCAUGGGAGUUGGUCUUACCCGACGGCGCUGCGCCAACCCGCAAGGGU
rnacentral:rRNA from 1 species